AGCGAACGCUGGCGGCAGGCCUAACACAUGCAAGUCGAGCGCCCCGCAAGGGGAGCGGCAGACGGGAGAGUAACACAUAAAAACAUGCCCUUCAGUUCGGAACAACCCAGGGAAACUUGAGCUAAUACCGGAUACAUCCGUAAGGAGAAAGAUUUAUCGCUGAAGGAUUGGCCCGCGUCCGAUUAGCCAGUUGGUGAGGUAAUGGCUCACCAAGGCGACGAUCGGUAGCUGGUCUGAGAGGAUGAUCAGCCUCACUGGGACUGAGACACGGCCCAGACUCCUACGGGAGGCAGCAGUGGGGAAUAUUGGACAAUGGGCGCAAGCCUGAUCCAGCCAUGCCGCGUGGGUGAUGAAGGCCCUAGGGUUGUAAAGCCCUUUCGGCGAGGAAGAUAAUGACGGUACCCGCAGAAGAAGCCCCAGCUAACUUCGUGCCAGCAGCCGCAGUAAGAC
rnacentral:rRNA from 1 species